GACGAACGCUGGCGGCGUGCUUAACACAUGCAAGUCGAACGGAAAGGCCCUGCUUUUGUGGGGUGCUCGAGUGGCGAACGGGUGAGUAACACGUGAGUAACCUGCCCUUGACUGUGGGAUAACUUCAGGAAACUGGGGCUAAUACCGGAUAGGAGCUCCUGCUGCAUGGUGGGGGUUGGAAAGUUUCGGCGGUUGGGGAUGGACUCGCGGCUUAUCAGCUUGUUGGUGGGGUAGUGGCUUACCAAGGCUUUGACGGGUAGCCGGCCUGAGAGGGUGACCGGCCACAUUGGGACUGAGAUACGGCCCAGACUCCUACGGGAGGCAGCAGUGGGGAAUAUUGCACAAUGGGCGGAAGCCUGAUGCAGCAACGCCGCGUGCGGGAUGACGGCCUUCGGGUUGUAAACCGCUUUCGACUGUGACGAAGCGUGAGUGACGGUAAUGGGUAAAGAAGCACCGGCUAACUACGUG
rnacentral:rRNA from 1 species